GCCAGUACGGCGUAGUGGUUUGAGCACUGAACUACAACUCUGGAGACCAGGGUUCGACUCCCAGUUUGGCCA